CAGAGAAGCCCUGAUGGGGCCUUUGAAAGUAUAUGACAUCACAGUGGGUACCAGGAGAGGCCAUGCCUGGAAAAAGGAGCAAUAAUAAUAACAGCUAUAUUGAUAGCUGUGCAACAGAUAACUAUUGAAGCAGUCUACAAAUAUGGAACUCUUUUUACCUGACCAACAUCUCUAUGAGACGUCUUUCUUCCCUUCUCUUGAAGCUGACAAUGGAGGGAGAGGACUGGUCUGCCAAGAGAGCCAACCCUAAGGUCAGAGAAGAGAAGAGAGCCCCUGGGUGCUCA
rnacentral:lncRNA from 10 species